rnacentral:rRNA from 1 species
CAGCCGCCGCGGGAAUACGAAGGGGGCUAGCGUUGCUCGGAAUUACUGGGCGUAAAGGGAGCGUAGGCGGACAUUUAAGUCAGGGGUGAAGUCCCGGGGCUCAACCUCGGAAUUGCCUUUGAUACUGGGUGUCUUGAGUAUGAGAGAGGUAUGUGGAACUCCGAGUGUAGAGGUGAAAUUCGUAGAUAUUCGGAAGAACACCAGUGGCGAAGGCGACAUACUGGCUCAUUACUGACGCUGAGGCUCGAAAGCGUGGGGAGCAAACAGGAUUAGAUACCCCAGUAGUCCCUGUCUCUUAUAC